GUGGGCUUCUCAAAAUAGGCCUCGAAAUGGUUAUGCAGUUGCUUAGGUCCGUCAAUCUCUUUACUCCUUUAAAGCGUCACUUGUCGUCCCGUCGUGCGUCCCAGUGCGAAGCGCGCGUCCACCCGCCAACUGACGCCACCACGCGACCGGUUUUACUCCUGACCCGGUGCCAGUCCACCCACGUUCCCACGCAACCGGUUUCUCCUGAACCGGUGCCAGACCACCUGAUCCGAUUUUAAUGCACACUCUGACAAUAGGGCCUGCCAACCAGAUUUCACGCUUUCCACACCCCCCACCUCACUCGAAUUCACUCGGUUAUGGCAAUUUUUUAAUCGGAUCUUGCCGCUCUCACAACGCCUCACGUCCCUCUUUAUUCUUUACAUAUAUUUUGUUUCACUAUAAAUUACAUACGAUGUUCCUUUUCUUUUCGGUUUUGUUCAUUUGCCUUUGGUGAGAACUCUUCUAUUUGUCACAUACAUCCCCUAUUAUAUUCAUCUACUAAACCCUUCACCGUUAUAUGUUAUGUUGAAAUUGUGUUCAUCGCCGUCUUCAUUGCAGCGGGUUGAAGCGUCAUGAAAGUUAUGGUCUGUUGAAGCUACCUUCACCAGGAAGUCGUCUAGCCCUGUAAGGCCUUGUUCGGUUACAUGGGAUAUAAUCCCACCAUGGAUUUAAUUCGGGUAUGGAUUGGGUGAAUCCAUAUCUCACACCCAAUCCCAUGGUGGGAUUAAAUCCAUCAACAAAUCAAUGCAACUUUCAAAGCUAGUUAUUCUUUUGAUCCAUGGAUUCUAAUGUAAACUUGUGCAAUAUCUCAUGGAUUUGUUCCAUACCUAAUGGGCUAUGGAUAGAAUCCAUGUCUUCCAUAGUUUAAAAAAUUCUCAAACCUUUGGGUUAUAUUCCAUGAUGGGUUUAACCGAAUAAAAAAAAUUAACUAGUCAUGGAUUAUUUUGGGGCAUGGAUUGAGGCAUGGAUUUAAUUCCAAUCCAUGCUAAUCCAGAGCGGGAUUGGUGUAAACGAACAAAGCCUAAAGAGGCAAUUUUCCAAACAAGUGUUAGUAAUUACAAUUCUACAUAGAUUGACAGCAUGCUUAGUUAAUUAACAAUAGUUUAAUAGACUUUUUUAGUCUUGACCUUGUUUCACUCUUAGACUGCACAACAUUCAUUUAGAAUAGGGAUCUUGGUUUUGCUAAUUUCUUAGCGUGCAUGUUUAUUAGCAGUAGCAGAUAAUGCUUAACAUUACUUAGGAAAUGAUUAAUAAACAGCAUUAUAGCAGUAGCAGGUAUGAUAUUGUUUAACCAGAUAAUAACAUGUAUGCUUUUGUGCGAAUGCCGAAUGGCAUGGCUUGUUUGUUUGAUUGGGGAUGAUGCUUGGGUAGAUGGAUGAUAGGCAAGGGUAUAUUACAUGUUAAUUAUUUAGUCAAUAGCAGGUAUACCCAUUCAUCAAAUAAUAGUGCGUUCUUAAAGGCAGGCUAAUAGACAUAAUUAAAAUGGUAGUCGAAACUAAUAUUCGACAUGACAAAACAUAUGGUAAAAAAACUUAUAUCUCAUUCUUGAAACAAACAACCGGUGAAACUGAUAUUGUUUUAUUUUACUGAUCAUUAAACAAUAGAGAAACCGGUGAAGUAAAUAGAGCAUAAAACUUAUAUCGUGGAGAGUAAGUACACUUUACCAUGCUCAUCUCCUUGAUCCAUCUCCCAUUGGCUUCCCCCUCAUCCCAACCGCCCCAGCCUGAAAUCAAAUGAAAUUACUCAAGAUGUGGUGAUGUGUAUAGCGAAGCAUGCGAUUGUAGAGCACAAACUUUAUUUAGCUCUGCUGCCCGGCCAAUGAUGAAGAUAGGUUGACAGACCUGAAAUUCUCGGAUUGGAACACAUGUUCCAUCGCGGCAAAGCAGAACAGCGUCCCCGACUUAUCCUUGUUCUACAGAUCACUGCAAUAAUAAGAAAACUAAACAUAAACCGUUGAUAAGAGAGAGUAAACUGAAUCGUAGAUAAGGGAGAGUAUACGGUACCGCAGACAGGGGAGAGUGCUAAUCCACUUGAUCGAUCCGCCGUUGACUCUUCUGGAUCUCCCGCAUUGGGAAGCUGGGAUCCCCAACGUCUCUCGUGUGCAUCCAACUCAUGAAGCGGAUCCUCUCGGCCUCCCUUGCUCCCACCUCACGUAGGCACACGGCUCAAUCUCGGCAUCCCGUAUGAGCUCGAGCUGCGCGCCCCCCGUCUCGAACAGCGGGAUCAUAGCGUUCUCCGGCGCGAGCCCAAUGACCACCUCGCUCGCCCGCCUCACAGUCGCCGCCACCAAAUCCGCCCUAUACCACUCCGGAAAUAUCGGAAGCGAAUGAAGCUAGGGUUAGGGCAUGCCGAAAUUUUCAUUUAUAUAUGCGAUUUCGGUAAAUCGUGGCCAUUCAAUCGAAAUGGAUGGCGAAGAUAAAUUGGGCCAGCUCCUGGGACGUCUGUGGGCUACGAGCCCAUGCGGGGGGGGGGGGGGGGGGGGCGCAGGCAGCUUUAGUGGACCAGGCAAAAUUCGGUAUGAAUUUGUAAGUUUAUUCGGCCCCCACUGGUCAUUUGUUCUUCAAUUACGUCACCACAAAAUUUGUUUCAAAUUUAUCGUUGAUGCGUUGUGUCAUGUUGUUCCAUGCUUCUUUUGUCCAACCAUUUUGGGCACGAUAUCUUGGUGAAUUGUACUCCUUCAGUAAGCUCACAAAAAAACAAGUUCUUGUUUCAUUCCAUUCUGCCCUCAUUUCUAUUCUUCCUACAAACAAAUAGCAAUCAACGAAUUGUUAAAAACCUAAUGUAGCCACUGGAGCAAACAAUCAAAUCUCAAACCUAACAAAUCUAAACUGAAAUCUAAACUAAUCAAAUCUGAAACCUAGAGCAGUCACAAACUAAUCCAAACUGAAACCUAAACAAAUCCAAUUUGAAACCUAGAGCAGUCACAAACUAAUCCAAAUUGAAACCUAAACAAAUCCAAUUUCAAACCUAGAGCAGUCACAAACUAAUCCAAACUGAAACCUAAACAAAUCCAAUUAGAAACCUAGAGCAGUCACAAACUAAUCCAAACUGAAACCUAAACAAAUCCAAUCUGAUGAAGCAACAGCAAAAUCUGAAAAAGAAAUAGGAGGAUGUGGGGAGGGGCUGCUGCAGCGGCAUGGAGGGAGCAGGGAGUGGAGGCCAGGGGGAGGAGGUCACGGGAUGGAGGCCAGGGGGAGGAGGUCACGGGAAUGGAGGCUAGGGGGAGGGUGGUCGCGUGGAACAGAGCAGGGAGGGAGGUCGUGGUGGGUGGCAGGAUUGAGGCCGGCGGGAUGGAGGCCGCAGGAAGGGAGGGGCCGGCGGGAUGGAGGCCGCAGGAAGGGAGGGGCCGGCGGGAUGGAGGAUGCAGGAAGGGAGGCAGCGGCGGGAAUCCAUGGGGAGGACAACAUGUACGUGAAGGAAUGGUGCCAUGGGGGAAGAAAGAAGAAGGAUCCGUACCUGACUUGGUUUGCUUCAUCUCUCCACGCAUCUCCCGUGGUGGUGGCGGCGCUGCUAAGGGCCUUCCGUCGGUGGUGGCAGCGCUGCUAUGGACGGGAGUGGAAGGGAAGGAGGAAGCUAGGGCGCGCCGCACGCGGGAGAAGGAAAAAAUACGCGCGCUCGGAGGUAUCCACGCGCGCGAGCGACCGACGCGUGAGAAAACAGAGGUAUGGACUGCAGUAUUGAAUACUGCAAAAAUACCAUGGUAUUGACAAAACUGUAUUAUUGAAAACUCUGUUUUUUUUUUUUUGAACAAACGCAGGAGAGCUGCGUGUCAUUAUAUUAAGAAGAAAAAAAGAACAUAGGAGAGACAAGACUUGUCAACCCCUAAUUACAAAGGCCCCUAGGCCGAGACCCCUCCGGCAAUAACACAACGCACCACACACACAAGGUAACAACCCGACCAAUAACGACUACCAGCAGGAAAACUGCUAAGGUCCCCUAGGGAGCUGGCGCAGCAGGAGGUCCUGCAGAGCUGAUGCACCAGCCAAACACCAGACGUUGCCCUCCUCAAUCACAGCACUCUGAACUCGCUGGGUGCAGGGCACAACCCCCUCAAAAACACAAGCAUUACGAUGCUUCCAAAUCUCCCAAGCAACCAAAAUGAUCAAGGAAUUAAGACCUUUUCUUAGACUCUUCUCCACUUUCUUGAUACUUUGGCACCACCAAUUUGAGAAACGAGUGCAUCCAUGCUGAGGCACAAUGGCAAGGAGGCCUAAAUUGUGUAGCAUGGACGUCCAUAUCUGCCGAGCGAACACGCAGGAGACAAGAGUAUGCUGGAUGGUUUCCUCGGCCUGAUCACACAGAGGGCAAGCAACUGGAUGGGGCAGACCUCUUUUUGCAAGUCGAUCAGCUGUCCAAACCCUGUUUUUGAUUGCCAACCAUACAAAGAAUUUGCAUCGUAAGGGGGCCCAGGUCUUCCAGACACGUCGCCAAGGGCCAAAAGGGAUAGAGCCAACAAAGAGAGCAUCAUAGGCCGAUUUGCUACAAUAAGUACCAUGAGCAGAGAGGCGCCAGAUGUGUUGGUCUGCGAUGUCAGGUUGCAGAACUACCCCAUCAACCAAGUUCCAUAGCUGCAGAUACUCUACUAGGACCGUUACAGACAAUCCUCCCCGAAUAUCUGACACCCAUUGACGAUUUGUGAGCCCCUCAGCUACUGUUCUUCGCUUUAAAGCCCUUCUAGAAAUCACUUGGAUAAGGGUUGGACAGUGUUCAGCCACAGUUUUACCAAGGAGCCAACGAUCAGUCCAGAACUUCACAGAUUCACCACUGCCUACCACUGAGGUAAUAGCCACAUCAACGAGGGCCUUUGCAUUACGGUGCACUCGGAUAGGGAGACCAGCCCAUGGCCUUGACGCGUCAGUCUUUUGUAACCAAAGCCACCUGGCACGUAGGGCCCAUCCAAACAUCUCCAGGUUGAGAAUACCCAGACCACCAUACUUGAGAGGCCGCUGGACAGCUUCCCAGGACACAAGACAGUUACCUCCAUUUGCAUCACCUUGCCCCUUCCAAAGAAAGCCUCUUCUCCUCUUAUCGAUUGCCUUAAAAACCCAUUUAGGGAGUUCUAAAGCAAGCAUAAGAUAGAUAGGGACAGAAGACAACACUGUCUUAACCAUGACAAGACGACCAGCCCGGCUGAGAAGAUUAGCUUUCCAUCCUGGAAGUUUAUCAGCAACUUUAUCAACAAGCGGCAGGAGAUCAGAGUUAGCAAGCCUACGGAUUGAUAGAGGAAUCCCCAAGUAAGUGCAGGGAAAAUUUUUUGUAGCACAUGGUAAUAAGGCAGAAAUGGUGGUCAGCUCAUUCGCUCCACAUUGAAUGGGCGUAACAGAACUUUUGGAGAUGUUCGUUUUUAACCCAGUAGCAUGACCAAAGAUGUCUAAAAUGCUGAUAAUUGCUGAGAUAUCCUGAUGAGAGGGCCGCAUGAACAAAACAACAUCGUCAGCAUAGAAGGAGAUACAAUGUUUGACAUGUUGAUUUGCAAUCGGCUGCAGCAUAUGUUCCCUGAAAGCAUAACUGACCAUAGCAUUCAAAGCCUCCAUGACAAGGAUAAACAACAUGGGGGACAAAUGAUCGCCUUGCCGAAGACCCCUAUGAUGCAGAAUGUAUUCCCCAGGCUCGCCAUUGACAAGGAUCCGUGUAGAGGAAGUGCAAAGCAACAGACUAAUAAGGUUGCACCAGCUUCGACCAAAACCCAAGUGUUGUAACAUGUCAAGCAGGAAUGGCCAGGAUAUCGAGUCAAAGGCCUUGGAAAUAUCCAACUUCAGCAGGAUGUGAGGCUCUUUUGAGUGGUGUAAUGAUCUGAUAAGUUGCUGCACCAGUAGGAAAUUGUCUUGUAUACUCCUUCCUUUGAUAAAGGCACUUUGGUUGAUAGAGACCAUACUUGGCAGGUGGGGUGCCAACCGAGCUGCUAGCACUUUGGUCACCAACUUAGCAAAGCUGUGAACAAGGCUUAUUGGCCUGUAAUCCUUGACCAGCAGGGCAUCCACCUUCUUAGGCAGGAGGGUGAUAAAAGCCGUGUUGAGGAGUUUGAGUUUGGAGACAUGCCCACAUUGCACAGCAAGCAAAGCACCCAUCAUAUCCUCCUUGAUGAUAUCCCAGCAAACCUUAUAAAAACGACCUGUGAAACCAUCUGGCCCAGGAGCCUUGUCCAAAGGCAUAUUUUUAACAACUGACCAAACCUCCUCCAUAGAAAAAACAAGCUCAAGAUCCCCCAAAUCAUGUUGUUGAAUGCCCAGGCUGUGUAGGUCCAGGGUGUAGUCCCUAUGUUCAGCUGUACCUAGCAGGUUAUCAUAAAAAUCCAAGGCUGCUUGCUGUUUUUCUUCCUGUGAGGUGACAAUACGUUCCUCAACCUGGAAUUUUGCAAUAAAGUUCUUUUUCUUGCGGUAGCGGGCUUGCUGAUGGAAGAAAGAAGUAUUUGCAUCACCCUCUUGUAGAUACAAAAUGCGAGAGCGAAGCCUCGCAAUAGUGCGCUCCAAUGAUGCCAAACCGAGGCAAUGCAGUUUCAAUUUUUUUCUAAGUCAUUCCUCCCCGGGUGAGAGCACUCUAUUGUCCCUGGCAAUCUCAAGGCGGUGCAGAAUUUCCUUAGCAGUAGCAAGUUGCAGCUUUACAUUACCAACCUUGUGAUGGCUCCAUUUUUGCAGCCCCUUGCUAAGUCGCUGCAGUUUUAAGAAUAUACCCUCAACAGGGCAAGCAGUGGAGACCGGAGCAUUCCAGCUAUGGCUGACAGCCUCAAGGAAACCCGGCAAUUUGGGCCAAUAACUUUCAAAGUGAAAACGCCUCUUCUUAUGGGUUUGGACAUUAAGGCUGAGAAUAAGAGGACAAUGGUCCGACACCCCCGAGGAUGCACUUUGCAAGAGCGAAUUAGGAAAGAAAUCUUCCCAAUCAUUGCAACAGAACACCCUAUCAAGUCGUACAAGAGUUGGAGAAGACCUUUCAUUUGACCAUGUAAAUUUGCGACCAUGCAGUGGAAUUUCCUUAAGAAGGCAGUCAUCAAGAAACCUUCGAAAUCUGCCCAUCAAAGCUCUAUUCAGUUUAGCAUUAUUUUUGUCAGCAGCUUGAUAGAUCAUGUUAAAAUCCCCAGACAACAGCCAAGGACCACUGCAGAGGGUUCUGAAAUCAAGAAGCUCCUGGAGGAAUUGAAUUUUCCUAUCAUCUUCCUGCGGGCCAUAAACACCAGUGAACCACCAAUUCAUACCAUCCAUCCUAGCAAACUGAACUGAAACCGAGAAAUUAUCAAUACGAGAGGAGAUGACUUGACAAACUGCUCCCUUCCAUGCAAUUAGAAUGCCACCACGAGUACCAACAGCAGGCAGGGUCAAGAACUUAUCAAAAUCUGAACCACACACAGAUAGGAGCAGAUGGGAAGAAAACGACGCCACUUUAGUCUCUUGGAGGCAAAUAAUAUCAGCUUUGGAGGAUAGAAUUGUGUCUCUUACAUAAUCUCGCCUAGCCUUAUUAUUAAGGCCACGGGCAUUCCAUACAAGAAUGUUUGAUAGAUUCAUUGAAAAAACAAAUAAACACGACCAAGGACAGCAGGAAUUAACAGCCUGCCAGGAGAACUGGGCUGCUGGAAUCAUCAAAUCGCUCAGCCUGCCAGCCAAAAAUAGCAGCAAGUGCAGCAAGAUGAGAGUCCGUCAGGCGCCCCUCGAACAGCUUAAAAUAGUUGUCUUGAGCUUUUUGAUCAAUGGCUUCUUCCGUGGCUGCGAGACCCAAACUCCUGAUGACUUUCUUUUGGGCUUCAGUGAUGAUCGGACCUGGAGAACAAGGCUUGACACCAGCCACCCUCCUACUCCGACGAGGCACAGCAACAACAGUCUUACUGCUUCUAAUCUUGGCAACCGGCAUGGGCAGCAGCUGUACCACUGGCUUGAUGAUUUUCUCCAGGUCAUUGAAAGAAACAGCAGGCGCAUCCGGCGCAGAACAUUUCUUAGAGUGACGCUUUCGCCUAAAAUAUACCUGAAGGUUGGAAGGGAGGCCACCUCUGCGAUUAAUGGCAGCAUCCUGCGGCUCAACAGACCUAUGCCUCUCAACAGGGUGAGGAAUACCCUGGUUAGACACAAUGUCUGGAACCACAGCAGCACCAAGUCUAUCCUCUUCCCAAGUAAGCAGAGGUAAAUUUGCGGAAGGAAUAGAGGUGACAGCUAUAGAAUCCUCAGAACUGGGCGCCAGCUGCUCCACGGUCCCUGGCUCAUCAACAGGGUCCAAGGGACCCUGGAUAUGCUCAGGGCCCGGAGCCAUGGCCCCCAACAUAGCAGUAGUAGACAUGACAGCCUCAACCGGAGGAGACAAUAAUAAUAAGGCCUCAGACGGAGUCCAUGGGACUUCCACAUCCAAGGCCUGAAGAACCGCAAGGUGCUGGUCCGCGCUCGCCUGAGGUGGGGAGGAACCAAGCAUUGAAUAUGCCCGAACAGCAGCCAAGUCUUCUUCCCUAGGCUGAACCGCAGACCCUGGGCCUAGACGUUGAAGAGCAGAUUGUCUGCCCUUAUGCACACCGUCAUCUGCAGAGCCCCUCCUACCAUCACGGUCCCCAGGUGGCGAACGUGAACGGAAGCGCCUCCUCCGCCGUGCAGAAUCAUCCAAAUCAGAUGGGACCUGGGUGGGAUCUGGUACAGCACGUUGUCCCACCAACACUUUAAUCUGAACAUGAUAGGCAAGAGCUAGCCUACCAACACCUGGUCCAAUUCCCAGAGGGUCGGUAAUCCAAAGGUCUCUAGUCUGAGGGAUUAAAGCCAAGUCAUAACACCAACCGUAACAACGAAAGACAUCCAAAUUCUUGAGUUGUAAAGUAUCAUCAUGCACCUCCUGGACCCAAGCAAAAGGAUUUAAAAGCUGUUGGACAGUGGUCAGCUCCCAGGCAUGCAUUGGAAUGCCACGUAGCUCGAAUUCCACAGGGAUAGGCAAACUUGCACUCGAAGACCCAAAGAACUUGGACCACUUUUUACAAUGCAGGGAAAAAGCGCCUGCACGAAUAGUGUUCCAUCUCACUGUCAACUGGUCAGCAAACUGCAGGGAGGGAAGCAUGAGCAGGAAAUGUCCAUGGGCCAGUUUCCUCAGAAUUAGCGAAUCAGAACUGACUUCAAGCUUUUGAGCAACCGCAUCUGCAAUAUCAGCAUCUGACACAGGCACAUCACUGACCACAAAGAUAGAUACUGCAAACUUCAAGUCCUCCUCUGCUUUUUCCAUCAAACUGUUCCAACCAAUCACACAAGGUUGCUGAUGAUGCGCUGACCCAGUUUCAGUCAGAAGCGCCUCCUCGUCUGUUUCACAACAAGCUAUCAAACACAUACACCCUCAAAACUGUAGUAUUCUAGAAUACUACAGUAUUUGACAAAAACUGAAAAAAUACUGUACUAACAAAUAGGCACUACGUGUUUUCCAACAGCACACUCUAAAAUGUAUUGCAGGGUUUAUAUUUACUCAUGCGCAGUACAAUAUGAAGCCCAUAAAUAUAUUAAAUUCUUUAUCUUCUAGUAGUAAAUAGAUCCCCUCACAAUGCAGUCUACUUUUGCAUAUUCUCUCUUUUGCAAUGCAAAAUGGAAAGGGUAUUUAGACUGUGUGUUGGAGAUACUUUCUAAGUACUACAGGACAUGUUAUAGUCUAUUUUUUGAAAUAAACUUCACUUGACACUAUGCAUUGGAGUCAGUCAACCUACAGUAAUGUACGGAGUACUAACUCUACACAACUUGCAACAGCAACAACAGCUCACGCUGCUGAUUCCAUCAGGGUUCAGGCCACCUAGGGCCUUGUUCGUUUGUGUCGGAUUGGUGGGUCGGAACGAUUCCUAGACGGAUUGCUUCUCUAAUUUAUAUAAACUUUGAUUAGCUGGAUCGAUUCCGAGUGCAAUCCGACGUAAACGAACAAGGCCUAGGGCUCCUUUGGGAGCACGGAAACCGACCGGUUUCCUCGGGAGCCCGUCACACCGUGGCCUAGAAUGCCCGUGGCGGUCAUUGGGCCAUUUGGGAGAUCAGUCCGCGUGGUAGUAGGCCCUGGGCGCGACGGGUUUCGCUGGGUCGCGCACGUCUCGCCUCCGGAGGCCGGGCACACAUUCCCGUCGAGCGUCGUUCCCGUCCUUGACUCUUCGCUCCCACCUCCACAACAACGACAUCGCUCGAGCAGAUAAAACAGCCGAGGGCAGCAGGGCCGGGGCUGGUGUCCCAAACGGCAGCAGGGCAGGGCUCACCUGCGGAGGACGCACUCCCGCGGGCAGCCAGGCGAGCGUGGCGGGGGAUGCCUGGGUUGGCCUGCCCCGGCGUAGCCUGUCCUGGCUGCCAAAGGAGCUCUUUCCUCAACCCGCGCCAUCCUGGGCCGCGUGCAUUUCGCCGAACGCUGCUUGGCCUAUUAAUAGUCCAAUUUUCAAUUGAUGUUGUACAACAUUUUUCAUUCAAAAAUGAAAUAAAAAUUGCUGUCCCAACAUCAUCAUGAAAACCAGAGGGGUAUAAAAUAAGGGGAAAUGUUGAGAGACAAGGAUACAGUUAUUUGGACUUACCAUGAAUAAACUGCCUAGCUUGUUCUGCUAUGUCCUGUUUACCAUAUGCAAGAACCUAAAAUCCAAAAAUAAAUGUACUCAUAACAAAAAUGGGAAAUAAACAUGAAGCUCAAAUUACUAAUUUGACGUUACUCACAACAAUCUGUUGCCUCAAGUUCAUCAGGCAGACCACUGACGAUGUAUCCAUGGAGAAGGAAGACAACCUUCUUUUCAUCUGCAUGCAAACUAAACGAGAUAAGUACGUACUCCGUACCAUUCAUUUUGUACAUAUGUUGCAAGAUUCAAACACAUGGAAACAAAUGGAAUCCUUGAAAGUGCAAAAUUCAAAACAAGGAAACAAAUCGACUCCUCAUAGUACGAGAGUGAAAUGCUGCAUCUAUGUAUAAGAACUUUGACUUUACCUUUAUAUUGAAGAAGAAUUUCAAAACUAUUUCCAACUCCUGCGAAUUUUGUGAACUGUAGGGUGCCGGAAGGGCGCCAAAUAUUCUAGUAGGGUAGAUUUGCCACUCUAACAAAAAGUCAUUAACCAAUUGCAACUCUUACAAACAGUAUUAAUUAUUUGCCACUCUUAUCGUUAACUUCUUAAAUAAUUGCCAUCUAAUCCCAUUUAAGCAUCCUAAUCCAAGUCUUAGCCUCUAAGAUGGAUCCAAACAAAUAGACAACAGGAUUGUACGAGCAGCAACACACGUACGAGCAGCAACACACGUACUAACUGCAAUUUGAACCAUUGUUAGCUGUCAAGCACUCCUUCAACUAGCAGACACCUCCGCAGGACACUCCACAACAUGCUAGUCAAGCCUCGUGAAUAUCUGGCUGACCUUUUCUUCACCUCUUCAUUCACUUACAUAUUCAAAUGACAACCAGACAAUAUUAUAAUGACAACUCAAUUUAUUUCAAAAAGUAUCCUUACAUUAACUUCAAUGAUAACUCAAUUUAUUUCGCAAAUCAUCCUUACAGUAACUUCAAUGAGAACUCAAUUUAUUUCAAAAGCAUCCUUACAGCACUGAAAGAACUGUAAUUACAAAUAUCACCAAAUAAAUGAAACAAUCCAAAUAUUGACAACACAAAUAUGUAAACAAGAUGCAUCCCUUCAGAAUCAUUAACAAUUUUGUCCACCACUUGCAGUUCUUGCAUGUAACUCCUCAAAGGUAUCACCAUCCGACGGUCGUCUUUCACCUGCCCAAACAUCAACAAGACAAGAACAAAAGUGUUGUUGCAUCAACAUGAACUUAUUAACAUGAACAAAAAAAAGGUGAUAUCAACACCACACCUGACUUAGUAUCAUGUUCAACUUGGACAAUCGGUUUCCUCCUAGGUGUUAGCUUCUUUCCAGAAGAUGAAGCAAAUUGAGCCCAUUCUUGGGACUCAUUAGUUCCCUCAUGUAGUUGCAAGUCAUCUGGUGUCGUGCUUGCAUUUUCAACUUGCUCUACAAAAAUAGGUCAUCUACGUCGUUUUGGUACAGAAGACUCCCCGCGUUGAUCAUCGUCAUCAACAUAGAUUUUAGGUUUUGCUCCAACCUUUGCAUUUACUUUCCUGCACCUCUUCCUACAAAAGUUCAAAAUUCACUAACAUGUAUGUCAUUUAAAAUAGAUUAAGAAGAAUUGUUGAGUACCUUGUCUUCGCGCCUGUGUAUCGACACUUUGCACUUCCUGUUCUGUGGCCAUACUCACCACAUACACCACACUUUGACUGUCUUGUAGCUUUUACUUUUCCCUUAUCAAGCCUGCAUUGACAAUCACAUCUUAUCAAGCCUGCAUUGACAAUCACACUCACAGUCAGUUCAGCAUUGUUAAUAAGACUAAUUGACAAUCACACUCACAUAUUUUAACAACUCACCCAGGUGGGAGAUGUUCAAAAAAAAAUAUCAUCAGGCAAUUUGCCCCAUUUGCUAGAAGUGACACCCUCCAAUGAGAUAUCCUAUAUGCACCACACAAUAUGAUAAAAUACAUAUGAAUCAAUUCAUCAUAGAACCAAAGCAACGUUGAAUUCAGUGAUAGAAACCUGCACGUUGCUAGUGGUGACAUUUGCAGAACCAGAGAAUUCUUCAUCAAAGUCCUUCUCAUUGCCAUCUGCCAUCUGUGGCACUACAAAACAUAAUCAACAAUAAUCGCAUUAAACUAUGCCCAAGUACUCUAUAUGUUGAAAUAUCAUAGUCCAAAUAUGAUAUGCAGCUUGACCGUGAAACAAAAACAGAUGCAUCUCUUUGUGAUAAGCUAAUAAACCAAAACGAAAUGAUGCGUCCUUGCCAAAGUAUCCUAUGCAUCAGGCUGACCUAAGACAUGAAGAGGCUCAUGCAUCAUCUGUCAUGGAUCGAUGAUUAUUUGCAAGGUUUCCUCUUACGAUCAACAUUGAAACAUUAACAGUAGGCAGACCAAAACGCAUUUGCACAACAGAACAAAAAUCUCUUCUUCUGCCUGCAACAUCCAUAAGAACAACGAGGCUACAACCAAGAACAGAUGAAAGAAUCCAGGAGCUGAAUCUUCCCAGACAGAUCCAAUCCAAGCACAGGAGAAGAUGGGAAAGCACGAGGACGCAAUGAAUCACCUGAGUGGGGCGGGUGCGGGAGGAGCUGGGUGCCGCCUGGGGGUGGGGGGUGCGAACGGAAGUGGACGCCUUGUCUCCGGCGGGCGCAGCGCUGGGCGGAGACGGAUGGCUCCAGUCACUGAACUAACUUUCGAUUUGUUUGGAUCUAGUGAUCCUAUUCUUACGGUGAGAUUCAAUUAGGAUGGUUAAAUGGGAUUAAAUGACAAUUAUUUAAGAGGUUAACGAUAAGAGUGGUAAAUAUUUAAUACUAUUUGUAAGAGUGGCAAUUGGUUAAUGACUCUUUGUUAGAGUGGCAAAUCUUUAGGGCUCGUUUGGCAGCCUGGUUUCCCUCCGGGAUCCCGACCCAACCCCCUGGUCACGAAUCCACGGGCUCAAAUCUCCCCCGGGGGGAAAAUUUGCAUUUGGCUGCCCAUUUCCCGGGCCCGAUUCGCGUGAGGUCGGGCAGGAAACCCUCGCCCAUCGCGGCGUCGCGGAUAAUGGCAAAAUUGCUAAUGGCUCCUCGCCCAGCCGCCGCCUCCGCCCCUCACCCAGCCGCCGCCUCCGCCCCUCACCCGCCGCCUCUCCGCCUCUUCCUCCCCUCCCCCUCCCAUCGUGAUCGCCCCCCUCGACCUCUCCCACCUGCCGCCAUACGGCACUUCCACCCGACCGGCUUGUAGUUGGAGAGCGCCGCCACGAGCGGCACCGACGACGACGACAUCGUGGGCAUCUGCACGGCCGUGCACGGGCUGCACGCGUAGCACAAGCCGCGGCAGCUCGGCGGGCUCGACCCCAGCCGCACCUUCUCCUCCUCCUCCUUCGCCGCCGCCGCUCCGUCGUCGCCCUGCUGCCGCACCAUUGAUCCGUUAGCGUGGCACAACAUUAACUCCGGCCAAGCACCCACCUGGACUGUAAGUCCCGAUCCAACUCCUACCGCCUCUCCCGAUGACUCUAUCCAUGUGAUUACUUUUCUUGAUGUUGUUUAGGCGCUGUAAAUUUUGCACAAAGUGCUACCUGAUGUUGUUUAGGCGCUAUAAACUCUUUACUAAUGAGUUAACUAUUCAUGAAAGAGCUGAGUGUCGUAGCUUAUGGUAUGAAAGAGCAAGAAAAUUCUGUAUUAUUCUGGUUUUGGAUGUUUUGCACUCAUGAACAGCAUCAUCAUCAGUAGCUUCAGUUCCAGAUGAUAUGUAACAUGAGUUGAUUCUUGCAGUGCCGCUUUAUAUGUAGCUUUCGUGAAAACGUGAAAAAAUUUGGACAGCUCUGCUAUGUAACAUGAGUUGAUUCUUGCAGUUCUGAUAUGUAACACGAGUUGAUAUGUAAAGGACAGCUCUGCUAUGUAACAUGCUAUGCAAGAAUUCUGAUAUGUAACAUGAGUUGUUAACUUUGCACAAAGUGCUACCUGAUAUUGACAAUGUGAAAAAAUUUGGACCAUAUUUAUUAAAAAGCUGUGCAAGUGUUAAACACUAGCUCAUAUUGUUUGAAGUAGGGUACUCAUUUAUUUACUGUCCUGACAUAGAACUCUACUCUAUGACUGGUUUUACUUGAAGUUGAAUUCUUAACCAAUGUGGUAUACUCUGGAGUAGAUAUAGAAAUAGAAAAGCUGCUUAGGUAUUUAAAUAUUGCUCAUGUGUUCGUUUGAAAUGGGCUGCUCACCAGUUAUGCGUUUCAUGUGUUUCCAUUCAUUCAUGUGUUUCCUCGUUGAUUAAAAACUGCAUUUGUAUGAAAUGGGCUGCUCACCAAUUAUGUGUUUCAUGUGUUUCCAUUCAUUCAUGUGUUUCCUUGUUGAUUAAAAACUGCAUUUGUAUGAUUAGUUGGUUUUCUGGCCUUAGAUUUGAAGUUAAGAAUAUGCUGCAUUUCUAUUUAGUCAUGCCCUUGCACUUGGUAAUAGAUCAUAAUUUAAUGGAUCACAAAAUUUAAUGGAUAGGAGCACUUAUUAGUUCUAUACAGGUGUGCUGAUUUAUUGUCUUAUGUACAGGUUGAAACAAUCGCUCACAGGCAACAUUAUCAGGUAAUGUUGAUUCUCACUAAUGUUGCAUAAAUCAGUUGUUGCAUUUGGUGCUGUUCUCUCACUCCACCAGAAAAUGGCACAUGAGUAGAUGCAUUUGGUAGAACUGUGUGGUGACCUUGCAUUCCAGAAAAAGAUUUUCUAGUGGAGUGAGAGAACAGCACAAUCACUUUACCCCUCAACCAUACCAUGUAUGAAAUUUUUUAUUCUUUCACAUUUGAGAAUUCCUUGAUAUGAAUCAGCGAUGACAUUUAAUAUCUAUGGGCCAAUUGUGCUUGUAUUGAUCUGCCAAAAUUAUACUUAAGGGUUAUGUGUUCAAAAGUGAUGUAGCUUGUAUUGAUCUGCCUUGUAUUUUACUCACCAGUUUAUAUAUCUUGUGUGAUCUGCCAAUUAUGCUUGUAUUUUACUCACUAGUUUAUAUAUCUUGUGCGAUACAAUGCUUUUUAUUUUACUCACCAGUUUAUAUAUCUUGUGUGAUCUGCCAAUUAUGCUUGUAUUGAUCUGCCUUGUAUUUUUAAUAUAUUUGUUCUGCCUUGUAUUUGUGUUUUAUAAUUAUCUGUAGUCCAUAUAUAUUUCUAAAGUCCAUAUAAUCUGUAGAUAUUAGAUAAUGGGCUCAAGGAAUGAGAUUAUGGAGUGUAGAAGGAAGAAAAUUCUGAAAUUCAUGGAAAUGGAGGAGGAAGAGGAUGAGGAACUAUUUUUUAUCAUCAUUCCUAGCAUACUCGAAGGACUUAAUGAAGAAAAAAGGGCAGUACAUACUUCUGAAUAUACUGGUGCUAAGAAGAUUAGAGAAAUUUUAGAAGGCCACGAGAAUUGGUGUAUGAGCGAGUUUCGCAUGGAGCCACGAAUAUUUAAGGCAAUAGCUAAUUAUCUAGGCGGGAGAGGCUUUUGCGCGAUACACGCGGAGUCACAAUUGAGGAACAAUUAGGAAUAUUUAUGUUCAUGAUAUCACACAAUGCUAGUAAUGGGAGGCUACAGAAGACAUUUCAGCAUAGUGGCGAAACAAUCCAUAGACAUGUGAAGGCCGUCUUCAAUAUAAUUCCUACCCUCACAUGUAGAUUUGUCAAACUUCCUACUUCCUUGGAACCUCAUCCUAAGAUUGCCUCGGACUCCCGAUUUUGGCCAUUCUUUCAGGUAAUACACCAUAUCAAUCAAUUUCCUUGACUCUUUCUUCCCAUUACCUUUGUCACCCAACACUUUCUUUCCUUUAUGUGCAGAAUUGUAUAGGUGCUAUUGACGGUACUCACGUCCCUAUCACAAUUUCAGAAGAGAAAGCCCCACCAUAUAGGAAUAGAAAAGGAACAUUAUCCCAGAAUGUGAUGGUAGCGUGUGACUUCAACUUGAACUUCACUUUUAUCUCAUGCGGCUGGGAAGGAUCCGCAUCAGAUGCUGGGGUGCUUAAAUCCGCUAUUAGCAAAGGUUUUCAUGUCCCAGAGGGCAAGUUUUACCUUGUCGACGGUGGAUACGCAAACACACCAUCAUUUCUUGCUCCAUAUCGUGGUGUGAGAUACCACCUUGGUGAGUUUAGGUGUAGUAUGAUGGAAUAAGUCUUGAGUCUUGAGCAUCUAGAGGACAGCCUGCUUUUGACUGUCCUCUGUAGUCCUUUAGCAUCUAGAGGACAGCUUGACUGUCCUCUGUAGUCUCUUUAGCAUCUAGAGGACAGCAGUCGCUUUUUGACUGUCCUCUGUAGUCGCUUUAGCAUCUAGAGGACAACAGUCGCUUUUGACUGUCCUCUGUAGUCUCUUUAGCAUCUAGAGGACAAUCCUGUUGUGUAGUGUGUGUGAGAAGGUGUGGUAGUGCAGCCCCUAGGGCUAUAAAUAUGUGUCCCCAACCCCUCUAAGGGUAUGGCAUUGUGUAGAGUUUGAUGAAAUAAACAGAAAAUUGCCCCAACUCAUAGUGUCAUCCUCUUGAUGAGAGUUAGAGUCCCUCUACUUACAAUUGGUAUCAGAGGCAAACUAUCCUGCAGCCUAAACAUCUCGUGCUCAUCUCCUUCCCGUGCCUCUCCCCACACUCAGUCGGCAGCAAGAGCUCCAACUGUUCCUUCCUCCCCUGCUCAGACGAGCAGCCUUUCGUCUGAGACAGCCUCUUCCACACGCAGCGACCCCUCACUAGCCCACCAUGUCCCUACGCUUGGCCACUUCGAGUGCGCGGCGCCAGCAGGAGGCCGAGGUCGCCGCGGCACAAGAACGCGAGCGAGCAGCAGCAGCGGCUGCAGCGACAGCGGCGAGGGCAGCACGGUUGGCGGCGGCGGAACUGGCAGCGGCGAGAGCGGAAGUAGAAGCAGCGGAGGCGGCGGAUGCUGCACGUGCGGCGGCAACAGAGCUCGAGGUUCUGCGCGGCAGUAGAGCUGGCAGCUCUGCUUCUGUCGACGACAACACCGACGACGAGCUCAGGCUGGCGAGGGAAGCAGCGCGAGAGCAGGCGGCACAGUGGGCAGCCGCGCAUCCCCAUGGGGGCGCGCGUGGCGGCAGCCCGGAUAGGCGCCGACACGCUGACGGCGCUCCAGGCGGGGGCGCACGCGGCGGCAGCCCAGACGGGCGUAGACGCGCCGGCGGUGCUCCCGGCGGCGGCGACCGAGUCGACGGAGAUCGCGGCCUCUACAGGCGGCGCGGUUCUCCCUCCCCGGAUCGGUACCAUGGUCGCCGCAUGGCCCAAGCCAUUGUCAGGGACAUCGGUCCCGGCGGUGGGUGGCCUACCCUCACCAAGACCAACUACGUCGAGUGGGCCGCGGUGAUGAGGGUACGGCUCCAGGUUCGCCACAUGUGGGAAGCAGUUCGUUACGACGACGUCGACUACCACGAGGAUCGGCGGGCGCUGGAUGCCCUCAUUGCUGCAGUCCCGCCCGAGAUGCAGUUUUCGCUUUCCCAGAAGCGGACUGCCAAGGAGGCCUGGGACGCCAUCGCUGCGACCCGCAUCGGCAGCGAUCGUGCCCGCAAGACCACACUGCAGGCACUUCGCAAGGAGUGGGAGAACCUGGCCUUCAAGCCAGGUGAGGAUGUUGAUGACUUUGCUCUCCGCCUCAACACUCUGUUGCAGAAGAUGGUGCAGUUCGGCGACGACACCUACGAUGAGGAGAGAGCUGUUGAGAAGCUCUUCCGUUGCAUCCCCGAGAAGUACAGGCAGAUUGCUCGCUCGAUCGAGUCUCUGCUAGACCUCUCCACGAUGACGAUCGAAGAGGCGAUUGGUCGCCUCAAGGUGGUCGACGGCGACGAACCACAGGCUCUCUCUGGGCCUAUCACUAUCGGCGGGAAGCUACAUCUCACUCGGGAGCAGUGGGAGGCCUGCCAGGGUGACAAGAAGCAGGGGGAGUCCUCCUCGACACGAGGCCGCAAACGCGGCAAGCCGCGCAAGGCGCGUGGAGGCGCCCAGGCCGGGGCGCGAGGACAUGCUGAGGGUGGUGCACGUGGAGGUGCCCAAGGCGGCGCCGUCGGCAACAAGAAGCCGGCACGAGACGACGGCUGCCACAACUGCGGCAAGCUUGGCCACUGGGCCAGGGAUUGUCGGCAGCCACGACGUGGCCAGGCCAACGUCGCACAGGCGGAGGCGGAGGAGGAGGCCCUGCUCCUGGCACAUGCAAGCAUCGAGCCAUCUCCAGCGGCACCGGCCGCAGCGGCACUCCUCCACCUUGAUGAGUCGAAAGCACGCGCUUUCCUCGGCGACGGCUCCAACAAGGACAUGAUCGAAGGAUGGUGCCUCGACACCGGCGCCACUCAUCACAUGACCGGCCGACGGGAGUUCUUCACCGAGCUUGACUCUAGCGUCCGAGGCUCCGUCAAGUUUGGGGACGCCUCCGGCGUAGAGAUCAAGGGCGCCGGCUCAGUCGUCUUCACCGCCGCGUCUGGUGAGCACAGGCUGCUCACCGGAGUCUACUACAUCCCCGCGUUGAGGAACUCUAUCAUCAGCUUGGGACAGCUGGAUGAGAACGGUUCGCGCGUGGAGGUCGAGCACGGAGUCAUGAGGAUCUGGGAUCCCUCUCGUCGCCUUCUUGCCAAGGUACGCAGGAGUGCAAAUCGGCUUUACAUCCUCAAUGUGAAGGUGGCACAACCUUGCUGCCUUGCUGCUCGUCGAGACGACGGGGCAUGGCAGUGGCACGAGCGCUUCGGGCACCUUAACUUCGAAGCCCUGAAGCGGCUCAGUGCCAAGGAGAUGGUACGAGGCCUGCCGUGCCUUGACCAUGUGGAGCAAUUCUGCGAUGUCUGCGUGUUGACAAAGCAGAGACGACUCCCCUUUCCCCAGCAGUCGAGCUUCCGAGCCAAGGAGAGGCUCGAGCUCGUGCAUGGGGACUUGUGUGGCCCGGUGACACCAGCCACACCAGGAGGACGACGCUACUUCUUGCUGCUCGUCGACGAUCUCUCCCGCUACAUGUGGGUGAUGAUCCUUGGCAGCAAGGGAGAGGCUGCGAACGCCAUCAGGCGUGUGCAGGUCGCUGCGGAGGCGGAGUGCGGCCGCAUGUUGCGCGUGCUGCGCACCGACAACGGCGGCGAAUUCACGGCGGCUGAGUUCGCGUCGUACUGCGCGGAUGAGGGCGUUCAGCGCCACUACUCCGCGCCGUACAGCCCGCAGCAGAACGGCGUCGUCGAGCGGCGCAACCAGACGGUUGUGGGGAUGGCUCGGGCUCUCCUCAAGCAGAGAGGAAUGCCAGCUGUCUUCUGGGGAGAGGCGGUGGUGACAGCGGUUUACAUCCUCAACCGCUCGCCCACCAAGGCUCUCAACGGGAUGACACCGUACGAGGCUUGGCAUGGGCGCAAGCCGGCGGUCUCCCACCUACGGGUCUUCGGCUGCCUCGCGUUCACCAAGGAGCUUGGCCACAUCAGCAAGCUCGACGAUAGGAGCACCCCGGGGGUGUUCAUUGGCUACGCGGAGGGCUCGAAGGCCUACUGCAUCCUUGACCCAAGAACACAGCGUGUGCGCACGGCGCGCGACGUAGUGUUCGACGAAGGGCGAGGAUGGGCGUGGGACAAGGCGGUGGACGACGGCACGACUCCGACGUACGACUUCACCAUCGAGUACGUCCACUUUGAGGGAGCUGGGGGAGUAGGCAACUCUUCUCCGAGCAGGUCUACCCCAGCCCCCAAGUCUCCGCCGACUCCAGCGCCACACUCUCCAGCUCCUGCUACAACGAGCUCUUCACCACCACGCACUCCAGCCACGACUCCGGCUACAGCGAGCUCUUCGCCACCACGUACUCCAGCACCGACGGUACCCUCUCCGGGAACGUCCUCUCCGACACCAGCUCGUGUCGAGCACGACCCAGUGGAGCUCGUGACCCCUCUGUCCCGCGACGAGGAGCGCGUCGACGCGUGCUACGACGGCGAGCCGUUGCGGUAUCGAAGGGUGGAGGGCCUUCUCAUCGACCCGUCCGGUGCCAGGCCCUGCAUCUCGCAUUCUGGCAGGAGAGUUGCAUCUUGCAUGCGACGAUGGUGAGCCUCGGUCUUUCGCGGAGGCCGAGAAACAUGCGGCUUGGCGUGCCGCGAUGCAGUCGGAGAUGGACGCGGUUGAGACAAACCGCACUUGGGAGCUCGCUGACCUCCCUCAUGGUCAUCGCGCGAUCACCCUUAAGUGGGUGUUCAAACUGAAGAGGAUGAAGCCGGCGCCAUCGUCAAGCAUAAGGCUCGCUUGGUGGCACGCGGUUUCUUGCAGCAGGAGGGGAUCGACUUCGACGAUGCCUUCGCCCCUGUAGCACGGAUGGAAUCUGUGCGACUCCUCCUCGCGCUGGCAGCCCUGAAGGGCUGGCAUGUUCAUCACAUGGAUGUCAAGUCGGUGUUUCUUAACGGCGACUUAAAGGAGGAGGUCUAUGUACACCAGCCGCCAGGUUUUGCGAUCCCUGGCAAGGAGGGCAAGGUGUUGCGCCUGCGCAAGGCUCUCUACGGCUUGCGACAGGCACCAAGGGCGUGGAAUGCCAAGCUGGAUUCCACGCUCAAGAGGAUGGGCUUCAUGCCAAGCCCGCACAAGGCGGCCAUCUAUCAGCGGGGCAAUGGAGAAAAUGCCCUGCUGGUGGGUGUCUACGUCGACGACUUGGUGAUCACCGGCGCCAAGGAUGCAGAGGUGGCAGCGUUCAAGGAAGAGAUGAAGGCCACCUUCCAAAUGAGUGACCUGGGGCAUCUCUCCUUCUACCUGGGGAUUGAGGUGCACCAGGGAGACUCCGGGAUCACACUUCGCCAGACCGCCUACGCCAAGCGCAUUGUUGAGCUGGCUGGGCUCAUCGACUGCAACCCAGCUCUCACUCCGAUGGAGGAGAGGCUGAAGCUGAGUCGCGACAGCACGACGGAGGAGGUGGAUGCUACACAGUACCGGCGUCUUGUGGGGAGCCUUCGCUACCUCGUCCACACACGGCCUGACUUGGCAUACUCCGUCGGCUACGUUAGUCGGUUUCUGCAGCGACCGACGACGGAGCAUGAGCAGGCUGUGAAGAGGAUCAUCCGCUAUGUUGCGGGGACUCUCGACCACGGUCUCUACUACCCGAGGUGCCCUGGGGAGGCACACCUUGUCGGGUACAGCGACAGCGACCACGCCUGCGACAUCGACACUAGCAAGAGCACAAGCGGGAUCCUCUUCUUCCUCGGCAAGUGCCUCAUUAGCUGGCAGUCGGUCAAGCAGCAGGUGGUGGCCAUGUCCAGCUGCGAGGCCGAGUACAUAGCGGCGUCCACUGCUUCGACUCAGGCGCUCUGGCUGGCUCGACUGCUCGGUGAUCUCCUCGGGAGAGACACUGGAGCGGUGGAACUCAGGGUGGACAGCCAGUCCGCUCUGGCAUUGGCCAAGAACCCCGUGUUUCAUGAACGGAGCAAGCACAUCCGGCUGAGAUACCACUUCAUCCGAGACUGCUUGGCAGAAGGGAGCAUCAAGGCGCGCUACAUCAACACCAAGGAUCAGCUUGCAGAUCUGCUCACCAAGCCCCUUGGGAAGAUCAAGUUUGUUGAGCUUUGCUCCAGGUCCGGGAUGACCCAACUUUCUCACAAGACGACGACCAAGACUUAGGGGGAGAAUGAUGGAAUAAGUCUUGAGUCUUGAGCAUCUAGAGGACAACCUGCUUUUGACUGUCCUCUGUAGUCCUUUAGCAUCUAGAGGACAGCUUGACUGUCCUCUGUAGUCUCUUUAGCAUCUAGAGGACAGCAGUCGCUUUUUGACUGUCCUCUGUAGUCGCUUUAGCAUCUAGAGGACAACAGUCGCUUUUGACUGUCCUCUGUAGUCUCUUUAGCAUCUAGAGGACAAUCCUGUUGUGUAGUGUGUGUGAGAAGGUGUGGUAGUGCAGCCCCUAGGGCUAUAAAUAUGUGUCCCCAACCCCUCUAAGGGUAUGGCAUUGUGUAGAGUUUGAAGAAAUAAACAGAAAAUUGCCCCAACUCAUAGUGUCAUCCUCUUGAUGAGAGUUAGAGUCCCUCUACUUACAUAGUAGGCGAUCAUCUCGAAGAAUCGCAUAUGCAGAUUAUAAGGAGCUUUUCAACCAUCGUCAUGCUAUUCUUAGAAACCAUAUUGAGCGGGCUAUUGGGGUAUUAAAGAAGAGAUUUCAGAUUCUCAUAGUGGGUACUCAUCAUCCCACUGAGUCUCAAAGUAAAAUCCCAGCUGCAGCAGCUGUGUUUCAUAACAUAAUUAGAAGAUUAAAUGGAGAUGAUAUGUGGCUAGAACAACAACCAAGUCAUAUUCAACCAGCAGAUUUUAUUGAUUUGCCCGAUGGAGAUGACAACUAUCAGAAUGAUGUAGAGUCAAUGAAUUUACAAAGCAGCCAGGGAAAUAUUCUUAGAGAUCAAAUUGCAAUGCAAAUGUGGGACCAAUACAUCCAAGAUCGGGCAUGAAAGCUGGUUAGUAGUUGGUUGUUUUGAAAGCUGCAUAUUAGUUAUUAAUUUUCAGAAUUGUUUAGUAGUUUUUGUUGUUUUUCUUGAUUGCUUUUUAGUUAGUUUUCAGAACUGUUUAGUAGUUUAUUAUAUUGAAAGCUGCUGAUUAGUUGGUUAUUUUCAUAGAACUGUUGAUCAAUUAUGGCAAGAGCUUCUUGGAAUAUGAAUUAUGAGAAGAGUCUUGUUGACAUCUUGCAUGAGCAUAAUAAUCCAAGAUUUAGGGGUCAAAAUGGUUGGAUUCCGGAGGGCUGGCGUAGUAUAACUCAAAUGUUCAAUGAGAAAUUUCCUCUAGCUCAAUUUUCGAAAGCGCAAAUCCAAGAGAAAGAAAAAGAGCUCAAAGCAAAUUACAAGUUAAUAAAGGAAGCCCGGAAACAAAGUGGGGCUGGAUGGAAUGACAGCCUUGGCAUGAUAAAUGCAUUGCCACCAAUAUGGGACAGAAUAAUUAAAGUAAGUUCCUUUUUUCGUACUUAGUUUGAUUGCUGUCCUAAUAUUUGACAUAGUUUGAUCCUAAUCUUAACCUUUUGCUGCAAUAACUAGAACCAUCCAAAGAUGAAGAAGUUCCAAUCAAAGCCAUUUCCUCUCUACAACCAAUUGGAAUUGCUAUAUCAAGGAAGCUGUGCAACCGGAGAUCUAAAUUUUACAUCCACGCAACAACUAGCACCGGUUCAGCAGGUUUCAAACCCUCAAGAUGAUGCUGUAAAUGAAGCUGUAAGCUCUUUUAGGAAUGAUGACCUUGAGCUCGAUUCCGGUUUAAAUCCAUCCUCCUCAAAUGUUCAAAGGCACGCAGUUUCAAGUACUCAUGCUGAUCUUGGCACAAAUGACCGGACACCGGCAUCUUCGGAUUGUAGAGAGGAUAGUCAUGGAAGGAAGUGCAAGCAAAACCAAAUCGCUGGGGUUCUUGAGGAUUUUUUGCAAUUCAAGAAGGAACAAAGUAACAAGUUUAUUAGUGAGGUCAAUCAACCAUCAAAUGAAAGAAGCAAAGAAGAGUAUUCCAUUGGAAAGUGUGUUGCUAUUUUGGAGUCAAUGGAAGAUCUAAGUGAAGAAGAAAUGGCAAAAGCAUUAGGAGUGUUUAAGUGUGAAGAAAACCGGGAGAUCUUUAUGACUACCAAGAGGGCACGUGUUAGGUUGUUGUGGCUUAGGGAUGAGAUUAACAAACAGGUAUUUCAAAUGAAGCACUACUCAAUUCAGUUUGAUAAAUAUUUUGCAUUUCUUCAGUUUGAUAAAUCAUUUUGUAACACAAUUUUAUUCAAUUGCAGGUGCUAUCUCCACGAGUGAGUGGUGUAUGAGGAUUCCUGUACUUGGUAACAAUUUUAUUCAAUUUUAAUUUCUGUCGAGAAUUUAGAUUGCCUAUAAAUCUUGCUGCUGCAAUGUUGAGAUUUUAGAUUGUGUACGUAUUUAACCCGUUAACUCUCUAUGAACUGCCAAAUUGGUUCUAAUGAUAAUGUUGUACUGAUCUCUAUGAGCAGUCAUCUCUGAAUUGGCUUAACUUCCUAUCAUGUGUCAUGUGACCAAGUAUGCACUUCAUGCUACUAGAUGUUAUUACAGUUUUGUUUGGAAUUCAUCUUUUCCAUUGCCUCUGAAGUUCUAUAUCCAUGAUGUACUAAUUAGAUAAUACAACAAGCUCUAUUGUGACUCCAUUUGUUGUAACUUACACCACUGUAUCCUAUGAUGCGAAGUUUUCUGUUCGGUUUACAUGCCAUUAGCCUUCUGCAGCAUAAUAGAAUACUACUUUUAGACAUAAGUAUGAAUAUGAUGUGUGCGAAAAAAUGUAAUUAUAAUAUUUUAUUAGUUAGCAGUUUCAUGUAUCAGUAUGAACUGAUUUGACUUACACUAUUGUAUACCAUGUUCUCACCCUAUUCACUUGUUGAUGAACAGGAAGUGUGUAGAAAUAUUGAUGUGAGAUGCUAAAGCUACUGAAGUAAGAAGUGCAAUUGUUAAGAAAACUGAAGUAAUGAGAUUGUUAAGAAUAUUGAGAUCUCUUGUGCUUGAUCUAAUGUAAUAGGACCUAUUAGCUUCUAUAUUUGGAUGACAUUGUCUUUGUAUAAUUUGAGCACUUGGUACUUUCUAUAGUCUGGAAUGAUCUAAUAAUUUAGCACUUGGUACUUUCUAUACCUGGAUGGCAUGUCUCUAUGCUGUGGUGGUGUUGAACUGAAGUUGAGCAUGCAUAAUGGAGAACCAGGAGAAUCAGAUUGUGGUGUUGUAUUGUUGUUGCUAUAAUUUUUCAUUUGUGAGCUUUUGUCAACAGUGGAUCGAUAAACUUGUAAAACCAAUGUGAUAUUAAGUGCUGUUGAAAACUUUAUUUGAAGCAACAAAAUGUUGGAUGAAAAAUAUUCUAUUUCAUUGCAUUAACAUAUUUUGUUUCCUAUUGUCUUCAUGUGCUCUACUUGAUCAAUUUCUAAUUUUUUAAAUUGUUUUCAGUGAUGUUAAAUCCUUUUUUUAUUCACUUGACACUCAUAGUUGCAGCAGAAUUUUUAUGGGAUACAAACAUAUUGAAAAUGUAAAUGGAUAGUGUAAGAUACUUGAUAAGUGUAAUUAAACUGUAAAAUACAGCUGGUCAGCAGACUGGGAGGAAACCCCGGAGCUCCAAAUAGCAGCCGGGGAGCUUGACCCUGCCAGGUGCUGCCCACCCAGGGAUUCGUGGUGGUAGGGAUUUGACCCUCGGGUGUUGGGUUCCCUGGGGAAAAACUGGUCCGACUGCCAAACGAAGCCUAAAAGGUUGUACAUUUCAUCGAUACAUACGCCUCUUAUGCAAACUCCAUCUUUAUACGUGACUACAUGAAUAAAAAGUACCCGUGAUAGCGCGAAUAAAUUGGCUUGAUUUGUACCACUAGCUAGCUAGUCCAACAUGUUUUAUAAACGUCAUAUUCCUUGUUGCAUAUAACCUUGUAUUAGCACUACAGGAAAAUAGUUAAUUCCCGUCGGCCAGGAACCGACGAGAAUAAGCAUUAAACCGACGGGAAUAAGUAAUUCCCGUCGGUUUAGGGCUUAUUCCCGUCAGUUGUCAGCCUCCAGGCGUCUCUUGUCGGGAUAAGGUUAUCCCCGUCGGCCGUCGACGGUAAUACUUAAUCUCUGUCGGCCAAUAACGAGCCGACGGGAAUUACGGCUAAUUCCCGUCGACCACCACAACCGACGUGAGUUACUAAUUAAUCCCCGUCGGCCAGGUCAGCCGAUGGGAGUUAACUGGGCCGACGGGAGUUAAUAGUUAAUUCUCGUCGGCUAUGGUCAAACCGCCGGGAAUUAACUGGGCCGACGGGAGUUAACCUAUAAUUCUGCAACAGCAACACCAAAUUAGAUAUUUCUCCACAAUUGCACACAUAACAUACACAAAACAUAUAUAUCACAAACAUAUGACAAAACAUAUCACAUGAACAUAUAAAUCACAAACGCAUUGACAUCACACAUCACAAACGCAUUGAUAGAAUUCACACAUCACAAACAUUUCAGAUACGAGAGUGUUUACACAAACAUAACGUCCACGAGUUAAAAUACAUAACGAGCACGAGUUCAAGUGUUUAGAGAUAACCACCACUUGGGUGGUUAGAGCUUUGACCGCUGCCGCCACCACCACCAGGAGGAGGAGGGAACACGAAGAGCGAGUCAACAAAUCCAGUCCCUGCUACGGGAUCAGAACCACUACCACCCGCUUCGGGUGUAACCUAUGCAAGUUAGCAAAUAUCAACACGUUAAAUGCAAAUAUCAAAAAGUAUACAAGUGUAUAAAUUAAUCGACAGUUAUCAAACGUACCCUAUCUCUAGGUGCAGGUAUAUGUGUCAGAGGGGUGUUGAACUGUGGUGGCGGAGCUGAUGUGUUUGCAAACUGGCUCCAUUGUGGUGGCAGUCACUACAGGAAUCAAGAAGAUUCCCGUCGGCCAUUUUAAUUCUCGUCGGCCUUUGCUCGGGCCGACGGGAAUUAAGCAACUCCCGUCGGCUAAAAGCUAGCCCACGAGCUUUAUUUUUACUCCCGUCGGCCCAGCCGCCAGCCGACGAGCUUUAGUUUAACUCCCGUCGGCCCAGCCGCCAGCCGACGGGAAUUAGUUAACUCCCGUCGGCCCUGACGCCAGCCGACGGGAAUUAAUGCUUUAUGUGCCGGCGGUCACCCGCGCGGCUCAUUUCCUCUCUCUCGGUUUCCAAGCCUCCUACGCCGCCGCCGGAGAAACGCCGCCCCCGACGCCGGCCGCCGCCCACCACCGCCCCGGCCAGCCGCCCCGCGGCCUAGGAGCGCGCCCGCCGCCCACCACCGUCCCGGCCGCGCGCCCGCCGCCCACCACCGCUGUCACACCCGGUUUUAGAAGGCAAACCGAAUGCGAACCAUGUACGUGCCAGGAUCAGUUAUUCACGUACACAGCAGUUACAUAACAUGGACAUCAUCACACAAUGCUCAAAAUAGUAUUAAAAGGGAAAUAAUAGUCGAUUACAUCAUACGUCUGAGACGUCCUGUAACGCCCUGAAUUUGGGGGUAGAAUUUUUUUUCUUCUUUUCUCUCACCAAAUUCAGGCGUUACCCUUUUCUUUUCUCGUUCCCUCGCUAAACCUUGAUCUUUUCCAAAGUUAUAGCGGGGUUUGGCUUGGAAUUCCCGUGUAAAGAAAAACCCUAAAUUACUUUAUGUUGUUUGAUGCACCAUGCCGAACUAUGCAUUCUUUGAUUGCUUAGAGAUGUAAGUGCAUUCAUCUAGGAAGAUCGGAUUUCGAAAAGGAGAAAAACAUUUUCUUUCUUUUUCUUUUUCUUUCUCUCUCUCCUCCUUUUUCUCUCUCCCGCGCCGUGGGCCGCCCCGACCGACCCAGCCGCCCCUGGCCGGCCCAGCCGCCCCCCUC
rnacentral:lncRNA from 1 species